AGGAACAAUUUGGUUGGGAGACAGAACGCCAUUAAGAGGGUCUUUGUCUCAAAGGAAAUUAAAAGAGGUUUUAGUAGGACCAAGUCUAUAUAGCAACUUCUUCAAUAAUCAUAACUGAUUUAUAUUCUUCGUAGCUUCGAUAAACACUGCUACACAAGGAAUUUACGAUUUUCCAUGAUCAUGAUGCAGAAGUCCGUGGCAAUUUUUGCUUUAGUGACUUUGAUGAGUCUGUUGUUAUCCGUAAGCGGUCACAUGUGUAUAGGGAAGCGUGCGGCGGGGCAGGACUCUCAAGACAAGGAUGAGACCAACUUGCUGUCCAGGGAAAUGUCCAAUGGAUUGGUAAACAGGCUGGAAACUCUUCAAGACAUCCGGGCAUUUUUGCGUCAUCGGAAGACGCUCUCAGACGACAGCCAGUGCUGAGCGGUGCCUCUUGAAUCGUAUCAGAGUACAACUUUGAAGUAGCUACCUUCUCCUGUGCUACUUUAUUUACGAUAUACAAAUGAACAACAUUAAUUCAGAGUUUUGUUUAUAGUAAUUGUUGUUAUCGUAACAGGAAUGUAAUUGGUAGUCCAAGUAGAACAAAAUAAUAGAAAGCUUUCUUACGCAAUUUUCACCUUUCUUGAUAAAAGAAGGCAAUGUCAUCAAUGCUUGUCAAAAGAGCAUAAAUGAAACGUAUUAAAACUGAAGAGACUUUCUCUGUUGCUGUCCUUCAGUCAAAGACUACGAAGGGAAUAAAAAAUAUACUAUUAUUACCAUUAUUCUAUGUCAAGCCACAAGACUUCAGUUGUUAUUCCCUUGCAUUACUUUAACUGCCCUCUCUGAUUUUUGUUCUAUAUAAAAGUCGAAAUUAUUUA